GUUGAUAGAAAGCUAAGGAAUAUUUUGACUGUGUUGAUGAUGAUGAAUUUGAGAAGUAUGUAUUACUGGUAAUUUAAAACAGGAUGCCUCGAUUAUUAUAGAUUGCGGGACGUUACAGGAUAAGAGGAAAUUAUAGGUCAGUGAUUUGAGUUGAAGAAAACACCCACCAAGGUGAAUGAGUUACUGCACUGUAAUGUAGAUUCUAAUUGCUUGAGGUGCUGAUCUGGGCUUACUGAGCGAUUUAUGCUCAUUCUGUUAUUUAAUGUUAUUUUUCCAAAUAAAAUAAAAUAGGAGGGUGAUCCCAAUCCUGUAACGGCCCGUAAACUUGAAAGGAAAUAAAUUAUGAAUUGAAUGCGGAAGUGAAAUAAAUAGUUAGGGUUUACAU
rnacentral:lncRNA from 1 species